UACGGAGGGUGCAAGCGUUAUCCGGAUUCACUGGGUUUAAAGGGUGCGUAGGCGGGCAGGUAAGUCAGUGGUGAAAUCCCCGAGCUUAACUUGGGAACUGCCGUUGAUACUAUCUGUCUUGAAUACUAAUGGAGGUAAGCGGAAUAUGUCAUGUAGCGGUGAAAUGCUUAGAUAUGACAUAGAACACCAAUUGCGAAGGCAGCUUGCUACACAGUUAUUGACGCUGAGGCACGAAAGCGUGGGGAUCAAACAGG
rnacentral:rRNA from 1 species